rnacentral:tRNA from 2 species
GCGCCUGUAGCUCAGUUGGAUAGAGCAUCGGCCUUCUAAGCCGAAUGUCGUAGGUUCGAGUCCUACCAGGCGCG